rnacentral:tRNA from 1 species
GGCCUAUUAGCUCAGUUGAUUAGAGCAUCAUGCUAAUAAUGUGAAGGUUUCAGGUUUGAUACUUGCAUGGGCCA